UAAAUCUCUCCUCUUCAGAUCUAGAACUUUUCAGCCAGCUGUUGUAUUAUAGUGUAUCCACACAAAGAAAAAUUAACACAGAGAAAAAUCAUUAUUACAUAAUAAAUAUAUAAAAUGACAAUAAAUGAUGUGGUAUUCAUAUUUCAAUCAGAAGACGGAGAAAAAUGGGGUUUAAGUCCACUCGACAGAAACUAGGUAUUUUGGCAUUAACACAUGGUCCAAUUUUAUUUCAAUAAUUUGCUUGUGCGUAUGGGUCAUUAGCAAUGGAAGGAAACUGGAGUUCGCAGAGAAAACCCUCGAAGGAUGAACGUGCUACCCUACUCCUUGCCACGUACAACUGGGGAUUUGAAACCACACCAGUUCACUAAAUGGCAGACCUUAUGAUACAGCGCGCACAUACUAACCAUUCACCCCCCCCCCCCCUUAUUUCAAACAACAAAAUUAAAUGUAUUGAUACAAAUAUAUAUCUAUGGAUACAAAUAUAUCUGUACAAAUGUAUAUAGAUAGAAUAAUCGUAUAGAUAAAGAAAAAUUAAAAUCCCGGGCUACAAUCCAACCAGGGAAUAGCGGGAGUGUAGACGAUCUGGGACCUAGCUCUCCAAACAAAUUACGCUCCUGAAGCAAAAAGAAAGAGUAAAUCGGUGCUGCCUGUUGUGUGUAUUAUAUGUAAAAAACGUGACAGAUUUGUCACUGUUGGAGAAAAUAGGAAGAAGGGUGUAUUAACACAGACUCAGACCCAAACAGGCUCAGGCCAACUGUUGAAAGCUGCUGAAUUGAAAGAGGAUGAAGAUAUUUUAAGGCAUAUCAGAGGGCAAGAUUGUGUGGCCAUUGAGGUCAGAUAUCACCAAAAAUGUUAUAGGCAAUAUACAUGUACUGAAUUUCUUAGACAGUUAUCAGAAAGCAAAGAUGACUAGCCCUCCGUCGAAUAUUAAACCACAUACAAUAUAUUCUGUGAAGAUGUCAUAAGAGAAAGAAUCAUAAAUGGCCAGCAAAGUUGUCUUGUACAGAGAGAGAGAGAAAGAGAAAUGGGGUUUAACGUCCACUCAACACAAACUAGGUCAUUUUGGGACUAACAUACGGUUUCAAUUUUAUUUCAAUAAUUCGCUUGCGCGUAUGGGUCUUUAGCAGUGAGAGGAAACCGGAGUGCCCGGAGGAAACCCACGAGGUUGAGAAAACGCCUCUAUCUCCAUGCCACAUACGCUCACACCUGGGAUCAAAGCCACAGCCACAAGCCAGAGGUGACCGACCAGCUAGAGGUCGAAGCGCGGCACUCUAGGCCAUCCCAACCCCCCUUUCUUGUACAGACCUGUGCAUGUGUAGUCAAUGUGAAAAUGAAAAAAAAACUGUUAAAGAGACCGAAUUUGAUGUUAAUACAUUUAGUGACAGUGAUGAUGAUAAUGAAGAUUAACUUUGAUGACAUUUGAUGUGCAGAGUAACUGUUUAAUUUUGAUUUUCAAUGAUUGUUUCACUUUAAUAAAUAAUUUCACAA